UCCAGACUCCUACGGGAGGCAGCAGUGAGGAAUAUUGGUCAAUGGCCGAGAGGCUGAACCAGCCAAGUCGCGUGAGGGAUGACGGCCCUACGGGUUGUAAACCUCUUUUGUCGGGGAGCAAAAGACGCCACGCGUGGCGUUCCGAGAGUACCCGAAGAAAAAGCAUCGGCUAACUCCGUGCCAGCAGCCGCGGUAAUACGGAGGAUGCGAGCGUUAUCCGGAUUUAUUGGGUUUAAAGGGUGCGCAGGCGGAGGUGCAAGUCAGCGGUCAAAUUGCGGGGCUCAACCCCGUACUGCCGUUGAAACUGCAUCCCUUGAGUGCGCGAGAAGUAUGCGGAAUGCGUGGUGUAGCGGUGAAAUGCAUAGAUAUCACGCAGAACUCCGAUUGCGAAGGCAGCAUGCCGGCUCCACACUGACGCUGAGGCACGAAAGCGUGGGUAUCGAACAGGAUUAGAUACCCCAGUA
rnacentral:rRNA from 1 species